rnacentral:rRNA from 1 species
UUAUACGGGAGGCAGCAGUGGGGAAUAUUGGACAAUGGGCGAAAGCCUGAUCCAGCCAUGCCGCGUGUGUGAAGAAGGUCUUCGGAUUGUAAAGCACUUUAAGUUGGGAGGAAGGGCAGUAAGUUAAUACCUUGCUGUUUUGACGUUACCGACAGAAUAAGCACCGGCUAACUUCGUGCCAGCAGCCGCGGUAAUACGAAGGGUGCAAGCGUUAAUCGGAAUUACUGGGCGUAAAGCGCGCGAAGGUGGUUCGUUAAUUUGGAUGUGAAACCCCCGGGCUUCACCUGGGAACUGCUUCCAAAACUGGGGAGCUUAAUUAAGGCAAAGGGGGGGGGAAUUUCCUGGUGUCCGGUGAAAUGCGUAUAAUUUGGAAGGAAACCCGUUGGCGAAGGCAACCCCCUGGGCUAAUACUGACCCUAGGGUGCGAAAACGGGGGGGGCAAACCGGAUAAAUACCCCCGGUAUUCCCCUCCCUAAAACAAGUCGACUUACCCUUGGGAACCUUGAAAAUCUAAUU